rnacentral:lncRNA from 1 species
CAGACAGGUCUCCCCCAACUCCGCUUCCACUGUCCCUCAAGAACGCUGGUAAAAACAGCUCAAUCCUGGCCAGUGCUGAGCGGCGUGCUCAAGUCAGUUAGGAGUGAGGCCUUCACUUCCAGAGCCUGAGGAGAAAUGAACAGGUGCCCACAAACAGACAGGGCUCUGUGAAUUCCCACAGAGACUUCCGGUAAUAAAGAAGAUGUAGAGAGGAAGGAGGAACUGUCAGAGUUUGGCCGAGUGAAACUUACAAAUUAAUCCCAGGGCUGGAAAUAACAACAAAGGUUGAAAUCUGUAAUUAGUGAUAGAAGCUCUAAUUAACUUAUUGGGAACUGCGUCCGGUGCGGGCACUCUUCUUCAUCAUCGGACGGGAACCUAGCGGGGAAUUAUUGAAAGCCGGAGUUUCCUGAGUUUUAAAUUGCUCUUGUUCGAUGCGCAUCAUGGCGGCCG